UACGUAGGGUGCAAGCGUUAAUCGGAAUUACUGGGCGUAAAGCGUGCGCAGGCGGUUGUGCAAGACCGAUGUGAAAUCCCCGGGCUCAACCUGGGAAUGGCAUUGGUGACUGCACGGCUAGAGUGUGUCAGAGGGGGGUAGAAUUCCACGUGUAGCAGUGAAAUGCGUAGAGAUGUGGAGGAAUACCGAUGGCGAAGGCAGCCCCCUGGGAUAACACUGACGCUCAGGCACGAAAGCGUGGGGGAGCAAACAGG
rnacentral:rRNA from 1 species